rnacentral:rRNA from 1 species
GAUGAACGCUGGCGGCGUGCCUAAUACAUGCAAGUCGAGCGAACAGACGAGGAGCUUGCUCCUCUGACGUUAGCGGCGGACGGGUGAGUAACACGUGGAUAACCUACCUAUAAGACUGGGAUAACUUCGGGAAACCGGAGCUAAUACCGGAUAAUAUAUUGAACCGCAUGGUUCAAUAGUGAAAGACGGUUUUGCUGUCACUUAUAGAUGGAUCCGCGCCGCAUUAGCUAGUUGGUAAGGUAACGGCUUACCAAGGCAACGAUGCGUAGCCGACCUGAGAGGGUGAUCGGCCACACUGGAACUGAGACACGGUCCAGACUCCUACGGGAGGCAGCAGUAGGGAAUCUUCCGCAAUGGGCGAAAGCCUGACGGAGCAACGCCGCGUGAGUGAUGAGGGUCUUCGGAUCGUAAAACUCUGUUAUUAGGGAAGAACAAAUGUGUAAGUAACUAUGCAUGUCUUGACGGUACCUAAUCAGAAAGCCACGGCUAACUACGUG